AGGCGGUGCUUGCACCAACUGAUUUAAAAAUAAACGAGUGGCGGACGGGUGAGUAACACGUGGGUAACCUACCCUAAAGUGGGGGAUAACAUUUGGAAACAGAUGCUAAUACCGCAUAAUAUUAAAAACCACAUGGUUUUUAAUUGAAAGACGGCGUAAGCUGUCACUUUUGGAUGGACCCGCGGCGUAUUAGCUAGUUGGUGAGGUAACGGCUCACCAAGGCGAUGAUACGUAGCCGACCUGAGAGGGUGAUCGGCCACAUUGGGACUGAGACACGGCCCAAACUCCUACGGGAGGCAGCAGUAGGGAAUCUUCCACAAUGGACGAAAGUCUGAUGGAGCAACGCCGCGUGAGUGAAGAAGGUUUUCGGAUCGUAAAACUCUGUUAUUGGAGAAGAACGUAUUUGGUAGUAACUGGCCAGAUAGUGACGGUAUCCAAUCAGAAAGCCACGGCUAACUACGUGCCAGCAGCCGCGGUAAUACGUAGGUGGCAAGCGUUGUCCGGAUUUAUUGGGCGUAAAGCGAGUGCAGGCGGUUUUUUAAGUCUGAUGUGAAAGCCUUCGGCUUAACCGAAGAAAUGCAUUGGAAACUGGGAAACUUGAGUGCAGAAGAGGAGAGUGGAACUCCAUGUGUAGCGGUGAAAUGCGUAGAUAUAUGGAAGAACACCAGUGGCGAAGGCGGCUCUCUGGUCUGUAACUGACGCUGAGGCUCGAAAGCGUGGGUAGCAAACAGGAUUAGAUACCCUGGUAGUCCACGCCGUAAACGAUGAGUGCUAAGUGUUGGAGGGUUUCCGCCCUUCAGUGCUGCAGCUAACGCAUUAAGCACUCCGCCUGGGGGAGUACGACCGCAAGGUUGAAACUCAAAAGGAAUUGACGGGGGCCCGCACAAGCGUGGGAGCAUGUGGGUUUAAUUCCGAAGCAACGCGAAGAACC
rnacentral:rRNA from 1 species